AUGGAAGCCAUGGAAGUAGAAAGUAGUGGUAAAAGAAGAAGGGGAUAUGGUGAAUCAUCUAUAAAAAGAGAAGGAGAAAGAGAGAGACCUACCAGGACAGCUGGACAAUGGCCUCCAGAAAAAGAUGAUUACCAACCUACAUAUAUCCCGGGACAAUAUAGAUACAUGGGUACUAAAAGAAGAGAUUUUGAAAAACCAGUGCAGUUCCAAAAUUAUAAAAAUGAUGGUGCUAUAUUAAACCUAGCAGCUCAUGACCCAAUAGAUUGGCCGAAUAUAAUCAGCAUAUGGAAAGGUUUAAUAGUACAAAAAUAUAUACAAAAUCAGUAUAGCAUAGGCACUAAGGUAGAAGAUAUGUUAACAUAUCUUGAAACAUUUUUAGGAGAAUCUGUAAAAGUUCUUUGGGAACAAUGGGUAGAAUCAUACCCUAGUCAAUAUGAAGAAUUAAAAAGGGCAGGAAGUAACCCUAAUAACUUUGCGAAUGUUAUCUCAAAUAUGAUCAUAGCAGAAGAUCCUGAAUUAGGACAUACCUCAUUGCAAAAUGAAAGGUUAAGAGAAAUAGAAAAAUUAACAUUAACUAGCUGGAAAGGUAUUAAAGAGUUUUCCCAGCAUUAUUUGUAUAAUGCUACUACUGCUAAACAAGGUUUUAAUGUAGGCGUAGUAGAAAGAUAUUUUAAUAAGUUGCGUGAUCCCCUAGGGUCAAUAAUAUUUGAAGAAUAUAAAAAGGAAACGGCGGGAAACGUGGUAAACAUAUCUCAAGCUGUAACAUUUGUUUUCAAACAAUUAAGAAAGGUGUGUACUAGUAUUCAAGCCCAAAGAUCUAUGAAGAAAUCAGAUUAUAAUUUUUGCAAUAACAUAGUCCAAAUACCACUUACAUAUGGAGAAUAA
rnacentral:rRNA from 1 species